UACGUAGGGCGCAAGCGUUGUCCGGAAUUAUUGGGCGCAAAGGGCUCGUAGGCGGUCCAUCGCGUCGGGAGUGAAAAGCUGGGGCUUAACCCCAGUCCUGCUUCCGAUACGGGUGGACUAGAGGUAGGUAGGGGAGAACGGAAUUCCUGGUGUAGCGGUGAAAUGCGCAGAUAUCAGGAGGAACACCGGUGGCGAAGGCGGUUCUCUGGGCCUUACCUGACGCUGAGGAGCGAAAGCAUGGGGAGCAAACAGG
rnacentral:rRNA from 1 species